rnacentral:rRNA from 1 species
GAUGAACGCUGGCGGCGUGCCUAAUACAUGCAAGUCGAGCGAACAGACGAGGAGCUUGCUCCUCUGACGUUAGCGGCGGACGGGUGAGUAACACGUGGAUAACCCACCUAUAAGACUGGGAUAACCUCGGGAAACCGGAGCUAAUACCGGAUAAUAUAUUGAACCGCAUGGUUCAAUAGUGAAAGACGGUUUUGCUGUCACUUAUAGAUGGAUCCGCGCCGCAUUAGCUAGUUGGUAAGGUAACGGCUUACCAAGGCAACGAUGCGUAGCCGACCUGUGGGGGUGGUCGGCCACACUGGAACUUAGCCACGGUCCAGACUCCUACGGGAGGCAGCAGUAGGGAAUCGUCCGCAAUGGGCGGAAGCCUGACGGAGCAACGCCGCGUGAGUGAUGAAGGUCUUCGGAUCGUAAAACUCUGUUAUUAGGGAAGAACAAAUGUGUAAGGAACUAUGCACGUCUUGACGGUACCUAAUCAGAAAGCCACGGCUAACUACGUG